UACCAGAAGCAAAACUCCCCCCCGCCCCCAGCAACAUUACACGAAAGGAAAGAAAUGCCAUUAGGAAUCUCAGCUCAUAACAUAGAGACAUGGCUAAAGUUUGAAAAUGAAGUAAAUGAAGGAAUAGGUCUAAUUGAAGAUAAAAAGGUGAAUAGAAAUUAUGGACCAAUGUACAAAAUUAUGAUUAGAGCUGCACAUAUGGUGAUUGCAUUGGGAUGGAAAGAUAAAAAGAAAUGGACAAUCUCAAAAUGGUUGGAAUAUGUUUGGGAACAAAUACAGUUAGAAAUUUUUGAGAUGAUGUCAAAAAAUAUGUUAUGGCAAGACAAGCUAAGAGACAUUAUGGAGAUAUGGUCAAUCUUUGAGAAAUGGAUGAGAGAAGCCGGAUUUGACAAAGAAAUAUGGGAGCAAAGAAUCCGAAGAAUGAACUUUCUGCUGCUUGCUUGAACAAACAGAAAAAGAAGAAGAGAGGG